rnacentral:lncRNA from 1 species
UUCUGACUGCCCUGGAGGCAAAGCCAGCCAAUGCCCUUCUCCUGCUUUCCCGGGUCACCACCUGGGCUCUCCUGAAGGGAUUCUGCUGAUAAUCAAGGUGAAUGAGCAAACAGCACAGAAAAAGAAACAGCAGUAUAUGUGGAAGAAAGCAAGAAAAAUCAACUGGCCUGGAACCUAAGACUUGUCCAAAGAUGUCACAGAGAGUAAAAUGAGAAAAAUCCAGUAGCCCGUGCCCAGAGCAGUUCCUCGUACCCACUUCUUCCUCAUAUCCUUGGGCAAUGGCUCCA